rnacentral:antisense_RNA from 1 species
CUUGACCGAGCCGAGCCAGAGCGGCCGCUCCUCGGUGUGCUCGGCACCGUACGUGGCGAUCAGAGCCUGGGCCUC